GAGUUUGAUCCUGGCUCAGAUUGAACGCUGGCGGCAUGCCUUACACAUGCAAGUCGAACGGCAGCGCGGGAGCAAUCCUGGCGGCGAGUGGCGAACGGGUGAGUAAUACAUCGGAACGUGCCCAAUCGUGGGGGAUAACGCAGCGAAAGCUGUGCUAAUACCGCAUACGAUCUACGGAUGAAAGCAGGGGAUCGCAAGACCUUGCGCGAAUGGAGCGGCCGAUGGCAGAUUAGGUAGUUGGUGGGGUAAAGGCUCACCAAGCCAACGAUCUGUAGCUGGUCUGAGAGGACGACCAGCCACACUGGGACUGAGACACGGCCCAGACUCCUACGGGAGGCAGCAGUGGGGAAUUUUGGACAAUGGGCGCAAGCCUGAUCCAGCCAUGCCGCGUGCAGGAUGAAGGCCUUCGGUUGUAAC
rnacentral:rRNA from 1 species